rnacentral:rRNA from 1 species
UCUAGCGAGACUGCCGGUAAUAACCGGAGGAAGGUGGGGAUGACGUCAAAUCAUCAUGCCCCUUAUGACCUGGGCUACACACGUGCUACAAUGGUUGGUACAACGAGUUGCGAGUCGGUGACGGCGAGCUAAUCUCUUAAAGCCAAUCUCAGUUCGGAUUGUAGGCUGCAACUCGCCUACAUGAAGUCGGAAUCGCUAGUAAUCGCGGAUCAGCACGCCGCGGUGAAUACGUUCCCGGGCCUU